ensembl:lncRNA DYNLRB2-AS1 DYNLRB2 antisense RNA 1
GCUCGCGAGUCGGCUUUUUCGCCCUGACCGCGCUCCUGAUGCCUCCCGGCCGCCGUAGGCGAAGGUUCGCGGAAGAGGGGAGCAGGCGCUCACCUGAGCUGACUCAGAAAUUGGAAUGAGUUGUCUGUGGAUCCUGUAAGGAGCCUGGACAUGGUGAAGAGAAUGCCUUGACCAUCAGGAGACAGCUUAGCUUGUUGAAUCUUGAUCACUUCUUCUGACCGCUUUGGAUCUUAAAAGAACAAGUGAGAACACUGUCUUGAACUGCUGGGGCAUCUGCCUAAGAAUGAAAGCAAAGAACAGAGGAAAGCAGACCUAGGAGAAGGAGGGAAAGACAACGUCCCAGUAAUAACAUUCAAGCUUCUGGAUCCAACCAUGUUUGCUGCCGGACAUUAGUCCUGGUACUUCUUGUUACAUGAUCCAGUGAAUGGCUCCUCGUGCCCUCCUCUCCCCAUAUGUUUCCUCCUUUUUUUGCUUAAGGUAGUUUGAGGUAGAUUUCCAUUGUCUGCAAGUACAGAAAGAUUUGUGGAGUAGAUAGCACCUCAGCUGCAUCUUGAAGGAUGAAUAGGAAAUUCUCAGGAGAAAUAGGGAUGGAACUGAGGAUCUUAUUUGGUCAUCCAGGCUGGACUGCAGUGGUGUGAUCAUAGCUCACUGCAGCCUCAAACUGCUGGACUCCAGUGAUCUUCCAGCCUCAGCCUCCCCCGGUAGCAAGGACUACAGGUCUCACUCUCUGUCGCCCAGCCUGGAGUGCAGUGGCAUCAUCUGAGCUCACUACAACCUCCGCCUCCCGGGUUCAAGCGAUUCUCCUGCCUCAGCCUCCUGAGUAGCUGGGACUACAGGCACGCGCCACCACGCCCAGCUAAUUUUCGUAUUUUUAAUAGACAUGGGGUUUCACCAUGUUGGCCAGGCUGCUCUUGAACUGCUAACCUCAAGUGAUCCACCAGCGUUGGCCUCUCAAAGUACUAGGAUUACAGUGCUAGGAGCCACCAUGCCCGGCCGCCUCUCUUUUCUUUUACACAUGAAGAAAAAGUGGUCAGAGAAGUUAACUUGGUCAGUGCCAAAAGCACUGGAAGUGAGUAGGACCAAGCUUUUCAUCUAGAUUUGUUUGUUAGACUCUAAAUCCAAAUUCACAACAAGAUCAGAAUAUGAGAAACCUAAGGAACAAAAUUCUAGGAAUCAUUUCUAGAAACUGUGGCUAUUGAAAAAGCACAGACCUAGGGAAUCAAAUUAUUUUCCCUGCCACCAGCACAUGGGUAGGCCUGUGACAAAUUCCAUGCUCUGGACCCCAGAUUCCUCAGUGAGAAUAGAAGGGGCUAGAGACAUCAGGGAAUUGGAUUUGGUGACUUUAAUACCCACUCAGCUCCAAAGCAUUCUUGAAUGAUGCACGAUUUAUGAAUAUAUAUAUUGAAAUUUACUGAUGGGUGAACAGCUCUCAACAUGAGAUUUUUGUUGUAUGCCUUAAAAAAGAUUAUACAUAAA